GCCACGUGCAUCCACAGCAAAAGAUGCCGGCAAUACCGGAGGGCGACAGCGAGUAUAUUCUCCAGAUUUGUCUGCCUGGAUGUAUCUAUAAUGCAUUAAGUGCUGGCAGAGCAUGUCAGCAGGUGCGCUGCUCUUAUUGCUAUGCUUCUCACACGCUGCGCGCCAGAGAGCCCUGGAUAAUUCCAAAGGUUACUGUGACGGGUGACUGAAUAGGCGGCGAAUUGACCUGCUUUAGAGGUGAAAAUGAGGAAGCCGCCUCUCCGCCAGCAUUAAAAGCCUGCUGCUGCUGCUGCUGCUUGAAAAGCCAAAUUAAAAUAAGGGAUCUAUUAAAACAAGAGAGCUGCCAUUCAAACCAGACGGCGGGGGAGGAGGAAAGGUUGCCAGCCAGCCAGGCGAGCUGCAAAGCGGCUCCCGGCCCAGCUGACGUUCGCCUCCUGUGGAGCAGAGGCGGCCGGGCGGGGAAUAACGAGCUCUCCAGAGGAUCCCGGCAACUGUUCCUGUACAACCCCAAGACUUAGGAACAGCAAAAGAGGGCAACAAUGGCAACUGUCCAUGAAAGAGUGGCUGAUUUCCGUCCAGAGCACAAGGGUCUGAUGCUGUGUUUUGCUCUCAGGAAAAAAAAAAUUCUGCAUUGAAAUCUCUGCCUGACAGCCAAGAGAGGAUUUCUGUCGGACCAGACAGCGUGUGCCAAGGGCUGGAACAGCAGGAACUUAGCAGAUGGGCUUCACAGACAACUGGCACCACACCACCGCUCCAUGCCCUAGUAGGCACCAGCCCUUUCGUGGAUGCUAAAUUUUUAAUUCUGAAAUUUAAAAGAACAAGCAAAUGUCCUGGGGGUUUCAAGCUGCUUCUUGAUUGAGAGCGGGCAGACACAGCGGCUGUCAAACCAAAGUAAACAGCGCCUCUUUGCUUGCCUAAUUAAGAGCACCAAUCUUUACCUCUUCAAACCAGUCAGCAGUCUCAAUUUCCCAAGGUCUUCAAGUGCUCUUCUGGUUUUAAAGGGCUAUUCAUCACGGCCAGCCAUUUUUUUUUUCCAUCCCAAGAAGCAAGCAAAAUAGGAAAAUAGCAAAAACAUGGAUGGAGGCUCAGACACAAUGAAACAGCCCACAUUCUAGAUGUGCCAGUGUGACUGCAGGACUUGAGUGCAGUCCUGUCAUCUGGAUUUUUUUGGGGGUCAGCCAGCUGGCUUUUGUUUUUUGAAAAGCCUUCUGCUGUCCACGAUCUUGUGUCUUUCACACGGUUGUGUGACAAAUAAAAAUUCACCAAGUAAAACAUUCCCUAGUAUGUAUUCUGCGGUUUUUAACUUUUUAGUUCUGUUGUAAUCUCCAUGAUUCAAUUAAGAGCAUAACAGAUACAGUAUAUAAAAUCUAAAAGGAUUCUGUUUUAAAAUAAAUUGGAUAUUUGUUUAGAUUCA